AUGAAGUAGAAGUAGUUGUUCGUUUGUUUUAGAGGUUAUGGGUGUUAUGCAUAAAUAAAUAGUGUUAAUAAAUAUUUAGUAUCCUAUUACUGUCGAAGAUAUCGUUUUUUGAAAGUGAAACUUUAUGUUUAUUAUAAAAAAUUAAUUGGUUUAAGUAGCGAAAGUGAAAUUGUUUAUCAAUGGGUAACUUUAUGUUAACAUUAGAUAGCGAUAUAGGUUAUUAAUAAACACAGCCUAUUCAUAUAAAUAAGUGAAAGGUCCUAUUAGAAUCGAAAGAUACAAGGAAAAUAGAUGUUAAUUAAAGUGAAGAGAAAAAAGAAUUAUAGAUACAAAUUCAUCAUCAGACGAGAAUGACAUUUUAAGUGACACUAGCUUGUGGUUUUUAAUGCAAAAUAAUAAUGAGAAAAAUAUCUCAAAACGUAGAAGUGCAGACAUCAAAUAUUUUCCAUUAGCGAGUUAACAUGUCAUCCUCGGCCAACAAAUUAAUCAAUCACUCAUUGUGCUAAUAUUUAGUAUUAAAUUUAUAAUACUUAUACUGUUCUGUUAACAUACAUAUAGUUAUACAUUUUAUGAUAUUAUGGUUUUGUUUUAAGAUUAAUUUAAUAUUAAUUUAAGAAAUUUUCAGUUUUAAUGCUAAAAAUCAAUAAUUGUAAUAUUAUCCAUUACAUCAAUAACAUUAUCUAAAAAUAAAAUACUCAGUACUCUGUUUAACAAUAUUGUGUAUCUUCUAUAAAACGUAGAAAACCUAAACUCAAAAGAUUUAAAAAUACGAUGUUUUGAAUGCUGUAUCUAUCUGAACAUAAUCAUUAAGU